rnacentral:rRNA from 1 species
CCUACGGGGGGCUGCAGUGAGGAAUUUUCGUCAAUGGGGGCAACCCUGAACGAGCAACGCCGCGUGCAGGAAGAAGGUUUUCGGAUCGUAAACUGCUUUUCUCUGGGACGAGCAAGGACGGUACCAGAGGAACAAGCCCCGGCUAACUACGUGCCAGCAGCCGCGGUAAUACGUAGGGGGCGAGCGUUGUCCGGAGUUACUGGGCGUAAAGGGUCCGGAGGCGGUUCGGUAAGUUUCGCGUGACAGUCCUCGGCUUAACUGAGGAAGGACGCGGAAAACUGGCGGACUUGAGGGCGUAAGAGGAAGGCGGAAUUCCGGGUGGAGUGGUGAAAUGCGUAGAUAUCCGGAGGAACACCAAAGGCGAAGGCAGCCUUCUGGCGCGCACCUGACGCUGAUGGACGAAAGCCAGGGGAGCGAACGGGAUUAGAUACCCCGGUAGUC